rnacentral:lncRNA from 10 species
GGAUGGCAGGUGCAUGAAGAGGUAUGGGAGUAAAGGACACUCCAGUUCCUGACUCCAGAAGGCCUCAGUUAAGUUGGGAAUACAAACUGGAAAACAAUUACAAUAUUGCCCUGCUAAGUUCUAGAAGAGUAAAGAAUUGCAACAGCAGCAGAGGUUGUUUGCACGCUCCCUCUCUCUCUGUACCGGGCCCCAUUCUAAGAACUUGCAUAUACUAUCUCAUUUAAAACCACAACAAUCCUGUGAUUUAGCUACUAUUUUUAGCCCCAUUUUACAGACGAGGAGAAUGAUCCUCAGAAUGGCCACACGACUUACCUAAGCACCAACAGCCAAUAAGAGCUGAAGCCAGUAUUCGAAAUCAGGCAGUUGGACUUCAGAGCUUGCCUUCUUAACUACCAUACAAAACUAGCUGUUAGGGCAAGGAUGUGGUGGUGAUGCCAACAGAGGUGAUAGGCAUGGAGGUGUACAUCAAGGAAACCCUCCAGGAGGAGGCUCCAUGUUAGGUGCUGGAGAUACAGUGAUGAACAAGAUAUUCAAGGUACCUGCCUACCUGGAGUUUACAGUCUAAUUGAGGGACACAGGAAGGAAGCUGUACUGACCAUUUAUCUUUCACUGCUGCUCAACAAUUUAAAAAAUUCCUGUCUGUGAGACUCUGUCUCAAAAAAUGAAUAAAUAAAAUUAAAAGAAAGAAUACAUGUAAAAUGCUUAGCACACAAUAAACACACAAGUAUUGGUUCCCUUUCCUUUCCUCUUGUUUUCUGGAGGAUUUUUACUUAUUGUGGAAAAGAAAGCAAUCCUUUCAGCAUUUCCUUUUGUGUGUGUGUGUGUGUGUGUGUGUGUGUGUGUGUGUGUGUGUGUGUUUUCUUUUCGUUUUUAGAGAGGUCUUGCUCUGUUGCCCAGACUGGAGUGCAGUGGCGUGAUCAUAGCUCACUGCAGCCUUGAAUUCCUGGGUUCAAACGAUCCUCCCCAGUAGCUGGGAAUACAGGUUUUUAAACGUUUCUGAUGCAGCAGGAC